rnacentral:lncRNA from 1 species
CAAACACCUAGGCAACGGAGCCAUUUACAUAAGGGUCGGGUCCAAUGUCUGCAAGAAACUAGAAAGCCGUUGCUUCCAGACUGUCCAAAGUAAGGUGCGAAACUCGAGUGGCUCAGGCUCUCUUUCACCAUCCUCCCCUCUUUUCCUCCAGCUUGAGGAGGAAGAAGCUACCGGGGAAUAAUAUAAAAUGAUCGCCCGGGUGGUAGAGUAGUAGUAGAAGACCCAUUUGCAGCGAGGAGAGGAGAGCGCGCGCGCCCGCCCGCUCCUCCUGACAAGAAGGCAAUGCAACAGGCAGGCGUGGCGGCGGCGGCACACACAGCUUCGGCGGCUUACCUUUGCCCAAGUCUGGCGCCUGCUGGCUCGCCUGCUGCUCCAGCCCAGCAAAGCGGCAGAAGAGACUCGAAGCCUUAAAAAAAUCCCCGAGAAGAGAGAGAGAGGAGGAGGGAAGAAAUGGCUACUCAAGGACUGCCCCCUUCGCCUUGGCCUGCCGAAGGGAGCCGCUUAAGGAGGCACCCCGGCCGGGCGCAGGGACGUCAGCCUCGGACAAACUCGGACGUGUCAGCCGAGGAGGAGGAGAGUCGGCCAGAAGAGUGGUGGAUCAGUAUUGCAGAGUGAAACAAAGGGCAGAGUGAAACUGACUUGCAUUCAAACGUUUAAAAUGUUUUGAUAUCACCAUACGUUUGUAUAUAUUGCAGUUCAUAAGACACUCUUAUCUGCUGCAUGCACUGGCUUAUUCAGAAUUUGUAAAAAGCCGGGUAUUUGUUUGCAACAAAGUAAUUGGUUUUGUUACAUGGCAAAACUGAAGAGUGAUUUUAAGCAAUUCAAAGGCUUGGGUUUUGGAGGCAUCCCCAAGAACUCUUUUUAAUAAUUUAUGUUGCUUGUUAAAAUCCAUGGGGCUGAUGUUGUUGGCCCAUGUAGGGAGCAAGCAAGCAUAACAUAGGUUAUGGCAAUAUAUUCUAAUCUCAUUUCCAUUGCCCAAUUAAGCAUAAAGUUCUCCCACAAUUAUAGGGAAGACGCACGUGUAAUUAACUUCUAUUUCUUUUAGUCUUUUAUGUAUUGGAUUUAUAUCCUACCUCUCUUCUGAGAGCUGAAGGUGGUUUUACUUUUAUUCUCUGUUUAACCUCACGACAACCCUAUGAGGUAGAUAGUUAGGGUCUGGCCCAAGGCCAUCAAAGAAAUAUAUACUAGGCAGACAUUCAAGUGUUAAUUUACAGUACCAGUCAUCUAAGCACAGAUAACUGAUUUAUU